CGGCGUGCCUAACACAUGCAAGUCGUACGAGAAAGUUGGCUUCGGCCGAUGAGUAAAGUGGCGCACGGGUGAGUAAUGCGUGGAUAAUCUGCCCUUUAGUUGGGAAUAACGUACCGAAAGGUGCGCUAAUACCUGAUAAUACUGCAUAACUACUGUUGUGUAGUCAAAGAAGGCCUCUGUUUACAAGCUUUUGCUGAAGGAUGAGUCCGCGUACCAUUAGCUGGUUGGUGGGGUAAUGGCCUACCAAGGCUACGAUGGUUAGCUGGUCUGAGAGGAUGAUCAGCCACACUGGAACUGAGACACGGUCCAGACUCCUACGGGAGGCAGCAGUGAGGAAUAUUGCGCAAUGGGGGCAACCCUGACGCAGCAACGCCGCGUGAGUGAGGAAGGUUUUCGGACCGUAAAGCUCUGUCGAGCGGGAAGAAAUGUAUCAUGGCUAAUAUCCAUGAUACUUGACGGUACCGCUAAAGGAAGCACCGGCUAACUCCGUG
rnacentral:rRNA from 1 species